GACGACGCUGGCGGCGUGCUUAAAACAUGCAAGUCGAACGGACUUCUCAUGAAGCUUGCGAUGAGAGUUAGUGGCGGACGGGUGAGUAACGCGUGGGCAACCUGCCCCUGAGCCCGGGAUAACAGUUCGAAAGGACUGCUAAGACCGGAUAUACUUGCGGGGAAGCAUUUCUUUGUAAGGAAAGGGAACGCUCAGGGAUGGGCCCGCGUCCCAUUAGCUAGUUGGUGAGGUAACGGCCCACCAAGGCGACGAUGGGUAGCCGGCCUGAGAGGGUGAACGGCCACACUGGGACUGAGACACGGCCCAGACUCCUACGGGAGGCAGCAGUUGGGAAUCUUCGGCAAUGGGCGCAAGCCUGACCGAGCAACGCCGCGUGAGUGAUGAAGGUUUUCGGAUUGUAAAGCUCUGUCUUCCGGGACGAUAAUGACGGUACCGGAGGAGGAAGCCACGGCUAACUACGUG
rnacentral:rRNA from 1 species